rnacentral:rRNA from 1 species
UUUUGCAAGUUGGAAAUCUCGAAAUAAGGGAGCUAAAUUUAUAUUAUUUUUUUUGUAGCAAUAAAAUUAUAAAUAUAGAUUUAGAAAUUAAAUGUUAAACGAACUUAUUAAUAUCUAGUUUUUUUAGAAAUAAAUUUAAUUUAGAUAUAAUUAUUUUAGUAAAUUAAAUUUUAUUUUAAUUUAUUAAUUUUUAUAUUAAAAAUUUAUGGGAUAAUCUAUAAAUUUAAGAUAAAAAUUUAAUUUUAAUUUUUAAUGUUAUAGAGAUAAUAUUUUUCUUUAAUUUUAAUAAUUUAAUAAUUUAAUAUUUAUAAAUUAAUAAUGAUUUAAAUUUAUAUUUUAUUUUUCUAUAAAAAUUUAUAUUUUAAUUAAUAAAAUAUAGAAAUAAUGAUUAGAUUAGUAAUAAAGUUAUAUUUUAUAAUGAUAUUUUGUAUUAUAUAAUUUAAAGGAAUUCGGCAAAUAUAUUAUUCACCUGUUUAUCAAAAACAUGUCCUGUUGAUUAUAAUUUUAGGUCGAUCUGCUCAAUGAAUUAUUUUAAAUAGCUGCAGUAUGUUGACUGUACAAAGGUAGCAUAAUAAAUUGUCUUUUAAUUGAAGAAUUGUAUGAAAGAAUUAAUGAAAUAAUAACUGUCUCUAAAUUAUUAAAUGAAUUUAAAUUUUUAGUUAAAAUUCUAAAAUUUAAUUAUGGGACGAUAAGACCCUAUAGAAUUUAAUUUAAUUUUUAAAUUUAUUUAUAAUUUUAAUAAAUAUAUUUAAGAUUAAAUUUGAUUGGGAGGAUUGGUAAAUUUAAUAAACUUUAUUUAAGAUUUAAUUUUGAUAUAAAGAUAAUUUUUUGAAUUAUAAAUUGUAAUUAAAAGAAUAAAUUACCUUAGGGAUAACAGCGUAAUAUCUUUUGAUAGACCAUAUAGAUAAAGAUGUUUGACCCCCCCCAAUGUUGGACCAAUAAUAAUUUUAUUUUUUUUUUCUUUUUUUCAAACAAAGAAA